rnacentral:lncRNA from 1 species
CUCUCCAAAAUGGUUGGAUUCGUUCACAACUCCACCAACAAUGAAUCAAUGUCCCAGUUUUCCCACAUCCCCUCCAACUGAGGUCAAAUUUCAACUCAGAUACUUACCAGUAGUGUGACUUUUGGCAAGUCAUUUAAUUCCCAACUUCCUCAAAAAAAGAGAAAGAAAAGCAUAAUGCUUAAUCACAUUUUGCCUAACUAGACUUACUCCUCAUUCUCUUUUAUCUUUUUGCAUCAUAUGACGCUCUUUGCUAACUAAAUUCAUCUUUGCUAAUACUGUUGUAUCCUUGUUCUCCUAUCAAUCUGGUUUUUCCUUUAAUCUCUCUUUAAGUGAUCAAAUUCCAAAGUUUGUCUUGUUUUAAAAAGCCAGAUAUCUCUCUCUCUCUCUCUCUCUCUCUCUCUCUCUCUCUCUCUCUCUCUCUCUCUCUCUGUCACACACACACACACACACACCCCACAAAAUAAUUAGACUGAAGCAAAAAGCAUUGAGUUUGAUUAUUGGAGUUUCUAGAAAAGCUUAGCCAAGAAAACAUGAUCAUCACAACAAGGUUCCCAAAGCAUGUUACAGGCAAGUCAAACCAGCUCUACCUCCUUGCCCACCAUCUCCCCUCAGAUCCUAAAGAAUAAAGCUCAGAACCCUGAGUCUUAAAAUCUUAAGACUUAUAGAUCUGGUUCCAGUUUGGGCCCCACAGUCAUUAUUUAAGGGAGAAAUUAUAGUGGAGAACAGUCUAUGUUUUUUUAAUUACCACCAACUGCUUCCACCAACAGUGAGAUGAGCACAAGAAUCUUAAGAAUAGCAGCCUGCUCCAGACUUCCUGUCUAACUCAACCCUUAUAGUUAUUAGAUGGAGAAUGGAGCAGAGACUAGCCAUUCUCAUCAACUUCCAACUAACUAUAAUUCACAACACAGGCAUGUUAAUCUAGAGAAGCAGUGGAGAUUCCCAAUAAUGGGACAAGAGUAAGAAUUUACCAAGUAAAUCAAACAACCACCAGAACUUUGACCCCCAUCUCCCGAUGGACUGUGAUAAAGAUAUCCCAUAGUCUUUUGGAAUAGCCAUGUUUUCAGCUUAGUGCCUGCAGCCAUCAUUCCAUUGUGUAACACAGGAAACCCUUAUGGGGAUGCAGUCUGACAAUUGCUACAUAUAUUGAAAAUAUGGAAAAGAAAAAAAAAUUGCUGCUAAGCUUCUCAAAUAGUUCAACAACAAAAAGAUAUGAUUUUAUUAGUGGAAACCAUGGGAUUUUCCAUCUUACUUGCAAAUGAAUCUUUGCAUAUAUAGUCUCCUUCCUUAGAAUGGAAGUUCUUUGAGAACAGGGAAUAGCUAACAUUUCUAUUUGUAUCACAAAUACUUGUCACUGUUCUUCACAUAUGGCACAUGCUUAAUAAAUGUUUUAUUCAUUCAUUUACUCAUUCUAAGCAGUGCAGAAACAUGAAACAGUAAAAUUUUAUCAUAAAACAUUGCUACACCAUGGCAAUCAAGGGUUCAUUUGCAAUAAGCUUAUUUUUAUGUAGUCUAUAUUUAAAAACAGUUUAUAUUUCCCUGGGUGAUUUUCUGUAGCUUUCUAGUGACCUUAAAUUAACAAAAAUUGAGAGAAUGUCUGAGCAAGGAACAGAAGCAGAGUGUCCCAAGAACAUUCUCAGGCACCCAUAUGGCACAGUGGAUAGAGUAUUGAGUUUGAAGUCAAGAAGACUUAUUUCCUGAGUUCAAAUCUGUCCUUAGACACUUACCAUCUAUAUGAUUCUAGGAAAGUCACUUAAUCCUGUUGUCUCUUUCCUCAUCUAUAAAAUGAGAAGGAAAUGGGAAACUACUCCAAUAUCUUUGCCAGGAAAACCCCAAAUAGAUUCACAAAGAGAUGGACACAACAGAAAAAUGACUGAUCAACAACAAGAAGGUAAUUCUAAGGGCCUAUCAUGAAGGAAAGUAUUUAAGUGUCAGUCAUAACUAUUGUGGAACAAAUGACAGAAAUGAAAUUGUAUCUGAUCUUGGUGGUAAAUGUGAGUGACUGGUGAGUUUAUAACAUUUCCAAAGAAGUUUAUAACAUCAAAGAAGAAAUAGUUGCUUCUUUAGUUUGAUGAAUGACCCAUAUCCAAUACUUCUGGUAGCUGCUGAGAAAAAAUGUUUAGAGGGCACUUGUGAUCAGCCUUCUGAAGCAUUGUACUGACUUCUGAUAGGAAAUUAAUGUUAUUGCUAUGAUGAAAAAGAUAAUUGUGAUUGGCCAUGCAGUAAAAUGAGGGAAUGUGAUAAUGAUGCAACAAUUAUGUUUUCCUCUCACUUAUCACUAAAAAACCAAGGAUGCUUGGCAUUAGUAUUGAGUUAGUCCUGUAUUUGGCAUGGGCGCUUAUAAGAUGGAUUCCCAAAGACUCAUUUUCUGAGAAUAGUUUUGAGAGUUACUAUUUCUACUACUGAAGAAAGAAUAAAGAAAAGGGAUUUAAUAAAAAAUAAUAAAAGUUAAGCUCCUGUGAUUAAUGGCCUGGACUAGGAGGAAAAAGGAGAAAGAUGAUAGGAUUAUGUUGAAUAAAGUAUACAUCCACUAAAACAAAAAAUAAAAAUCAAAACAUUUAUUUUUUCAUUCAAUUAAUACAUUCAGGAGGGCAAUUUUAAAAAAAUGAAACAGGUAAUCUAUUAAUUAAUUUGAUAGGAAAAAAAUAAAAGGAAAAACCAAGUUACCAGUAUCAAAAAAAAAAUAAUGACAAUUAUAAAUUAAGGCAAAAACUAUAUUAUCAUCAAAACCACUUGGUACUUUCUAAGAAAUAUAGUAAUGGAUCAAUGGAAUAGGUUAGGUUCACAAGAUACAGUAGUCAAUGACUAUAAUCAUCUAGUGUUUGAUAAACCAAAGACUCCAAAAAUCACUAUUUGACAAAAAUUGCUAGCAAACUAGAAAAUGACAGAAACUAGGAAUUGAUCAUCAUCUAUCAUACUAUAUCAAAAUAAGGUUGAAGCAGAUUCAUAAUUUAUAUAUAAAGGGUAAUACAAUAAACAAAUUAGGAGAACAAGGGAUAGUCUAUAUCUCAAAUCUGUGAAGAAGGAUGGAAAUUAUGGCCAAAGAAGAAUUAAAAAACAUUAUAAAAUUCAAAUUGAAUAAUUUUGAUUACAUUAAAUUAAAAAGUCUUUGCACAAACAAAGCCAAUGCAGCCAAGAUUAAGAAGGGAAGUAGAAAACUGGAGAAGGGGGGAUUUCCAAUAAAAGCCUCAUUUCCAAAAUAUAGAGAGAAUUGACUAGAAUUUAUAUGAAUACAAGCCAUUUCCCCAAUUAAUAAAUGGAUAAGAAUAGUUUUCAGAUGAAGAAAUUAAAGCUAUUUCUAGUCAUGUGAAAAAAUGCUCCAAAACACUAUUGAUUAAAGAAAAUGCAAAACUCUGUUACACCUCUCAGAUUGAUAAUGAUAAAUGUUGGAAGGGAUUGGGAAAACUGGAACACUAAUGCAUUGGUGGUAGUAUUGUGAACUGAUUCAACCAAUCUGGAGAGCAAUUUGAAACUAUGCCCAAAGAGUGUCAAAUUGUGCAUACCAUUUCAUCCAGCAAUAUUUCUAGUAGAUGUAUAUCCUAGAGAGACCAUAAAAGUGGGAAAAGCAUUCACAGAUGUUUUUAGCAGCCAUUUUUGUAGGAAAGUGAGUGGAUGCCCAUCAGUUGGGGAAUGACUAGAUUUUAUGGCAUGUAAAUGUAAUAGAAUAUUAAUGUUCUAUAAGAAAUGAUGACCAAACUGGCUUCAGGAAAGAGUUACAUGAAUUGAUAUUAAGUGAAGUGAGCAGAAUCAAGAGAGCAUUGUACAUAGUAACAAAAAGAUUAUAUAACGAUUAACUGUGAUGUACUUAGCCUUCUUCAAGAAUGGGAGAAUCAAGGCAAUUUCAACAGACAUAUGGAAAAUGCCAUCUGGAUCCAAAGAGAGAAUUUGGAGACUGAAUUGUUUCUAAAUAUAGCAUUUUUAACUUUUUAUUAUUUGCUUGCUUGUUUUAUAUCUUUCUCAUGUUUUUUUUCACUUUUGUUCUGAUUUUUCUUGCUCAGCAUAAUGAAUAUGAAAAUAUGCUUCUAAAAUUGCUAAAUGUUUAAACUAUGUCAAGUUGCUUGCUGUCGUGGAGAAGAGAGGAACAGAGGGAGGGGUAAAAAUUUAGAACACAAGGUUUUGCAAAAGUGAAUUUUGAAAAAUAUCUUUGCAUGGAUUUUGGAAAAUAAAAUACUGUAACAAUAAAAAAUUCAGAAAAAAAUUAAAAAACAAGAAAUAAAGGAAAUAAUUAUAAAUUAUUUGGGCAAAUUGCAUGUUAAUAUAACCAACCACCUAAAUUAAAUGGAUAAAUAUUCACCUAAAUAAAUAAAAAAAAAUCUAUGUUAACAGAUAAGAAGUCAAUAAUUUUAAUAACAAUAUAUAAAAGCCAUUAAACAAACCAUGAAUGAAAUCCCAAAGGAGUCCUAAUGCUCAAUUGAAUUUACAAACAAAAUUUGUGAAACUUUAAAAAAAUCAAUUCAAAUAUUAUAUAAAAUUUUUCUUAAUAAGGAAAAUAACACUUUUUUGGUACUAGGUUGUUUAUUUUUUUAUUUAUUAUAAUAACUUUUUAUUGACAGAACCCAUGCCAGGGUAAUUUUUUUUACAACAUUAUCCCUUGCACUCACUUCUGUUCCGAUUUUUCCCCUCUCUCCCUCCAUCCCCUGCCCUAGAUGGCAAGCAGUCCUAUAUAUGUUGAAUAUGUCGUAGUAUAUCCUAGAUACAAUAUAUGUGUGCAGAACCGAACAGUUCUCUUGUUACACAGGGAGAAUUGGAUUCAGAAAAUAAAAAUAACCCGGGAAGAAAAACAAAAAUGCAAACAGUUUACAUUCAUUUCCCAGUGUUCUUUCUUUGGGUGUAGCUGCUUCUGUCCAUCAAUGAUCAAUUGAAACUGAAUUAGGUCUCUUCCAGUAUCGUUGUUGAAGUAUAUAAUGAUCUCCUGGUUCUGCUCAUUUCACUUAGUAUCAGUUCAUGUAAGUCUCUUCAAGCCUCUCUGUAUUCAUCCUGCUGGUCAUUUCUUACAGAACAAUAAUAUUCCAUAACAUUCAUAUACCACAAUUUACCUAAUCAUUCUCCAAUUGAUGGGCACCCAUUCGUUUUCCAGUUUCUAGCCACUACAAACAGGGGUGCCACAAACAUUUUGGCACAUGCAGGUCCCUUUCCCUUCUUUAGUAUUUCCUUGGGGUAUAAGCCUAGUAGUAGCACUUAUGGGUCAAAGAAUAUGUACAGUUUGAUAACUUUUUGGGCAUAAUUCCAGAUUGCUCUCCAAAAUGGUUGGAUUCAUUCACAACUCCACCAAUAAUGCAUCAGUGUCCCAGUUUUCCCAUAUCCCCUCCAACAUGAAAAGAACACUUCUUGCAAAAUUAUUUCUGUGUCACAACAGAUAGUUUUUUGUCAUAUGAACUAAGCAGACUUAAAACAGAAAAAAAGAAAAGACCAACAUGCUUAAUGAAUUUUGAUGUGAAAAAUUUAGACAAAAGAUAAUCUAAAAAGUUAAAACAACUUAUCAAAAUAUACAAUAUUACCAUAUUGGAUUUGUAACAGAACUUCAGGGAUAAUUUAAUAUUAGGAAAACUAUCAAUAAAAUGGAUCAUAGUGAUAACACUAAAAAUCAUAUGGUAAAAGAAAUAGAUGAAUAAAAAGCUUUUGACAAAAUACAACUAUUAUUUCUAUUAAAAUAAAUAAAAAUCACAUGACUCGAUCAUUUUCCUUAAUACAAUAUGUAGAUUAUUUCUGAAACCAUUAUUUGUAAUAGGAAUAAACUAGAAACCUUUCCAGUGAGAACAGGGAUAACACAAGUAUGUUUAUUAUUCCCAAUAUUACUCUUCAUAUUCCCAGAAAGGUUGGUUUUAACAGCAAAAAGAAAUUGUACAGUAAGGAUAGGCAAAGAAGAAACAACAUUAUCAUUACUUACAAAUGAUAGAGUGGUAUACUUAGAAAACCCUACAGAAAAUUAGUUGAAAUAAAUUAAUAACUUCAGCAAAAUCAGAAGAAGUAAAUAAGGAUAAAUUAUUGCCAUUUUUGUAUAUAAAGCAGGACAAAAUACAAUACAGAAAUUGAAUUUAAAUUAUCUAAAGGAUAUAAAAAAAUCCUUAUGUAUCUGUCUAUCAAGAUACACAGAGAAAAUGUGAAUAUAGUGAUAAAACACUCUAUCACUAUAAAAUUUAUAGUUAGAAAAAUGUAAAAAGCACAUAAAUGGACAAAGCUAAUAUAAUGAAAAUGACAAUAAUGUCUAAAUGAACUUACUCAUUGAGUGUCAAAUUACAUAAACUAUCAACAGAUUAAAAAGUAUGAAGAAGUAGCAAACAUAUAUUGAGCAAUUAAAGAAGGGAGCCUAAGAGUAGCAAUUCUCGAAUUACUUUACCAAGCAAUAAUAAUCAAAAUUAUUUGGCACUGUUAAAAACAAAAAAGUCUCAUUAAUGGAAUAACUUUGCCACUCAACGUUUGGAAAGAAAUUAACACUAAAGCAUUGUGUUCAGUAAACCAAAAGAUUCCAGCUAUUGGAGAAAGAUUUUUGAGAAAAACUUAUGGAGAAACUAGAAAGCAAUUGACAUUAGGUUUAAACCAGUACCUCACACCAAAACAAACCCCAAAUGAAGUUUAAUUACUUAGAUAUAAAAGGUUAUACCAUCAACAAAUUAGAGAAUCGAGAAAGAAAUUACCUUCAGAUCUGUGAGUGGGGUAGAGUUGAAAGAAAAGUGAGAUGAAAGACUACACAAGAUAAAAUGAAUGACUUUAAUUACAUAAAAAUUUUAAGAUUUUAAUACAAAUAAAACAAAUAUAAUUAAACUUAGAAAUGCCAAGGUUAACUGGAUUGGGGUGGGGGACAAGUAGAAUUUUUAACAUGUCUUUCUGAUUGAGGUGUAACAUAUCAUCUAAGCUGGUUCAAAUAUAUGAGUAAGCAAUUUCUUUAAAAAAUGCUCAAAUGAUAUGAACAGGCAAUUUUUUAAAGUGAAAUUCCCUAUUAUGAUUAUUAGACCUAUAGUUAAGACCUAUAGAUAAGGCCUUUAGUUAAAUGUAACUACUCCCAAUUCAUUAUAUUUAUUAUUAUAUAUAUAUUUUAUUUUAUAUUAUAUUUUAAGUACACAUCAAUCCUCCCCUAUUCUUUUCAGUUUUAGGGAAUUUAUAUCAAUUAUGGACUUACUUACUUUGAGUACUCAGUUUGAAAAUUUCAAGUAUUUAUUCAGAUUGAAUUAUCUAUCCCAAUUUACAUUUCUGUUUCUUUCUAGUUAAUCUCUAAAAUCUUACUGGUUUAGGCAAAAUCCGGUUUCCUGGAAAUUCAUAGCAAAAUAGUAGAUUAUAUUAUAGUGCCUAUGGAUAAUGUUAGGUAAAUGAUCAUUAAGGAUCAUUUUUGAACAUCAUCUGAAAACAGUUUUCAUGAAACUAAAAAGAACUCGGUCAUUUCACAAGCUGUUGAACAUAUUUAGUACUUUCACCUUGGUAUUUUAAAAAGCUAAUUAUGAAAUUUAAAGCUAACAGACAACAGCUUUUUCUCACUACUACAGGUAAUAUGUGUUAUCUCAGUAGGUGAAUUUGGUUUCUCCUAUUGGUUUUGUUUUCUGAUUUAUAAUUGCCCUCCUACAAACAAUCCCAUGUUCCAUUUUGAAGUUUAUAAUGCUUUAAAAUAAGCAGAAAAACUGUUUCACUGCUUCUAUUUAUUACUGAUUCAAUUGCCUUACAGGAAAAAAUGAAUAAUUUAAUGUCCAACAAAUAUAACAACUGGUAGAAUUAUCCACAUUUUCAUAAAUAUGCUGGAACACUAUAGGAGAUCUCUACAAAUGUCCCUUUCUGACUCCUACUCUUUUCUUUACAGCCUAUAAAUUGAUAUUCACAACUGAAUUUUACAAAUUAAGAAAUCUAUAAAACAUUAGAAUUAGAGGGAUCUAUCCAAGUCAUAACAUGAUAUGAAUAUAGAGUAAGAGAAUGUAUACUAGCUAUUUUUUAAAUAGAUCACCUUACUAUCUAACACAGCAAAAGGUUUUCUUUAAGUAUUCAUGUUGUCUUCUGGCUGUUUGUGAAAAUUUAUGAAUAUUUUAAAAUUAUAUAUAGAUAUAGAUAUGUGUAUAUAUAAACAUAUAUAUAAUCCUUGUACAAAAAUAAAAAUUGAUCAGAACUUUGAAAAACUUUGAAAGAGAAUCAUUUUCUUUGAUUGCAGUUCAAUAGACAUAGCUAUUAUUAUUAUACUACAACAACAUAUAUAUACAUAUAUGUGUAUAUGUAUAGAUAUAUAAAUAUAUAUAUAUAUACAUGAGAUAUAUAAAUAUAAGUACAAAGUAACUACAAAAGAGAAAGACUAGCAACUGAAGGAACAAAAAAGGCAUUCUGUGGAGUAUGGCCCUUGAAUUGAGUCUUGAAGGAUGCCAGAGAGUCUAAGUGAUAGAAAUGAAGAGGUAGAAUAUUCCAUGUAUAGAUGAGAUGGAAUAUGUAGUUCAUAAGAAACUCAGGAGAUCAGUACAACUGGAUUAUAAAGUAUGUGGAUGGGCAUAUAAAGCUGGAAAUCUAGGAAGGCUGCAAGUUGUGGAAAGUUUCAAAGGCUGUAGGAGUUUGUUUGAACCUAGAGUUAAUAGUAGCUAGCCACUAAAACUUGUUCAGUGGGGAGUCUGAAGGCAAAAUAAUCAGAACCAUGUUUUAUGAAAAUCAUUUUGGCAGCAAUUGUGAGGAUGAAUAGGAAUGAAGAAAGAACAAAAGGAGAGAGCCUUAAUAGGGAGCUACUGCAAGUGCCUGAAUGAAAGGUAAAAAUGAGCUAAACCCCAGUGUAAUACUUGUAAUUUUUAUUUUAACAAUGGAGCUCUCUGUGCACAUAGAAUUUUCAGUUCAAACUACAUUAUUAACACUUUCUUAAAUCCAAAUAAUCAAGUAUUUUGUCGCAUUUGCUGAUUUCUGAGCUACAAAGGCUCACCUUGAAAUUUUAACAUUCAGACAAUUAGAAUAAUCCUAACCCUAACCAUAUAAAUAUAUAUAUAUAUAUAUAUAUAUAUAUAUAUAUAUAUAUAUAUAUAUGAAGAAAGGAAGGGAGGGAGAAAGAAAAGAAGGAAUAGAGAGGGGGGGAAAUAUAGAGGAAGGGAGGCAGGGAGGGGGGAAAUGAAGAGAAGCUUAAAAUUUGAAUUAGUACUAAAAAUAUAAACUAUUCCAGACAAGAAUGUCAACUCCUUGAGGGCAAAGUCUUCUUUUACUUUUUUUAUAUAUCCCAGUGCUUAGUGACUGGCACAUAAUAAAUGUAUCCUAAUUAAUUAUGAAAUGAAUAUUGCUUUUCUGUCAUGCUAGUAAAACCAAACUGAUUAAUUAGGUUUGGGAUUUAGAAAUAGCCUUUGGUCCACAUUUCACAUUAUCAUUGAUGGAGAAGUUUUCAAGAUAGGAAAAUUUAGACAUUAAGGGAAAUACUGCUGUAAUCCUAGAAAAAUUCUAAAACUUUGUUAUAUAAUCAACAGUAUUGGAUCAAUUUAAAAAUUAAUAAUGCUAUGAUAUUUAUUUGAAAGCUUUGCUGGAAUGCAUAAACUAUCAAAAUCAAUAAAAAUAAAAUAACCUUUUUCUCUAAAAAAGUAAAGUUAUUUAAUGCUUUUCCCUAAAAUAGAAAAAUGUUUCCUCACUGUGUAUUUAAAUUAAAGGGUACAUUAUAUGUAAGCAUCAUUAAUCAUGAGAAAUUAUAUUUGUCUUGGCAAGGACACUAAUACAAACAUAUAUUGAAAAGUUUAAUCAGCACAAUGUUUAAACUUUUUCAGCUAAUCACAAACCUUCAAUACUAACCUUUUGAUUAUAAAAACAUUUUAUAUUUACAUUGUAAUUCACGUCUCAAAUAAAAAAAAAUAAAGAUCUGACAUUAAAUUUCCAGUAACUGUUAGCUGUGUGAAAUCCCACACAUAUACAAGAGAAUCAAAAGCAUAUUGACUUUGAUCUUUUCACUCAGAUCCACAGUGUUACUUACCUCUUUGCCCUUAAGAAAAUGGAACUAUUCAACCAACAGAAAUUCCCUGUUCUUACAGCCAGCCUGUGCAGUAAAAUGUUCAUGACAUGAAUAUUUUAGAGCAGGUCGACUUUUACAGAUGAAGAACAAUGUUUGAGGUCCUUGUUUUUUCAUUCCUUCACCUGCUAAGAGAUCAUUUUCUCCAACAUAUUUCAAAAUAAUGAUACCCUUAUGCUUUUUAACUUGCUGGGGCAGGAACAAAAAUAUUGGAGUUUAUUGUCUUCUUCCCACUGAAACAGGAUGUAAAGGUUUUUACUUUGUUUGUUGUUUGUUUGUUUUAAGUUCUUAGCUUAUUUUUUUUAUUUUUGUCCAAUCAAUCUGAACAGAUGAACCUUCAGAUAGCUUAGUGAGAACUAUGGUUAUUUCAUGAACAUUUUUGUCUUCUAGAAACAAAAGCCAACAUCAUUAAUGGGGCCCUAAAUUGAAACAGUACCAGUAUUGUCCAUGAGAGCUUAGUGUCAUACUGUUGACUGCAGCUGGGGAUUCAGAGAUUAGGGCUUUGCUGACUUUUCUUUUUCAGAAGUUACACAUAGGCAUUCUUUUUUUUUUUUUAGUUUUAAUGUUCUUUUUUCCCUUUUAUUUGCACAUAAAAUGAAGAUAAAAGUCUUUAUUUGCUAAAAAAAAUGCAUUUAUCAAUGAUCAGGAAAUGAAUUAUUAACAAUGAAAUAUUAAUUCAUUCUUGGCAUUGUUCCUUUUUGGAAGGAGAAGAAAAAGAAAAAAAGGUUAAAGUUAUUUUCAAAUUGAUGACUAAAUUCACUGGGAAUUAUUUGCUUUUGGCAAACAAAAACUGUUGCAAAAGAUGAGCAAUGGAAAGACCACUUGCUAAUUGUGAAAUCCAAAGACCAGGCUUCUCCUUACAGACUGAAAAAAUUACAGUAUGAUUCUAGGUAAAUCACUUAACCUCUAUAUUCUUUGGUUUCUUUAUCUGUAAAAUGGG